rnacentral:rRNA from 1 species
GUCGAACGCUGGCGGCGUGCUUAACACAUGCAAGUCGAACGGAAAGACCCUGCUUUUGUGGGGUGCUCGAGUGGCGAACGGGUGAGUAACACGUGAGUAACCUGCCCUUGACUUUGGGAUAACUUCAGGAAACUGGGGCUAAUACCGGAUAGGAGCUCCUGCUGCAUGGUGGGGGUUGGAAAGUUUCGGCGGUUGGGGAUGGACUCGCGGCUUAUCAGCUUGUUGGUGGGGUAGUGGCUUACCAAGGCUUUGACGGGUAGCCGGCCUGAGAGGGUGACCGGCCACAUUGGGACUGAGAUACGGCCCAGACUCCUACGGGAGGCAGCAGUGGGGAAUAUUGCACAAUGGGCGGAAGCCUGAUGCAGCAACGCCGCGUGCGGGAUGACGGCCUUCGGGUUGUAAACCGCUUUCGCCUGUGACGAAGCGUGAGUGACGGUAAUGGGUAAAGAAGCACCGGCUAACUACGU